rnacentral:tRNA from 1 species
AAAACUUUAAGUUAAAUAAACUAUUAACCUUCAAAGUUAAAAAUAAAGUUUCUUUAAGUUUUA